rnacentral:rRNA from 1 species
GUGCCAGCCGCCGCGGUAAUACGGAGGGUGCAAGCGUUGUCCGAAAUUAUUGGGUGUAAAGGGUGUGCAGGCGGAGGUCUAUGUCGGAGGUGAAAGUCGGCCGCUUAACGGUCGUCGUGCCUUCGAAACUGGAUCUCUUGAGUUCGGAAAAGGUCGGUGGAAUUCGUGGUGUAGCGGUGAAAUGCAUAGAUAUCACGAAGAACACCAGUGGCGAAAGCGGCCGGCCGGUCCGAUACUGACGCUGAGACACGAAAGCGUGGGGAGCGAACAGGAUUAGAUACCCGGGUAGUCC